CCUACGGGUGGCAGCAGUGGGGAAUAUUGCACAAUGGGGGAAACCCUGAUGCAGCGAAGCCGCGUGAAGGAUGCAGUACUUCGGUAUGUAAACUUCUAUCAGCAGGGAAGAAAAUGACGGUACCUGACUAAGAAGCCCCGGCUAACUACGUGCCAGCAGCCGCGGUAAUACGUAGGGGGCAAGCGUUAUCCGGAUUUACUGGGUGUAAAGGGAGCGUCGACGGUAUGGCAAGUCUGAUGUGAAAACCCGGGGCUCAACCCCGGGACUGCAGUGGAAACUGCCGAACUAGAGUGUCGGAGAGGCAAGUGGAAUGACUAGUGUAGCGGUGAAAUGCGUAGAUAUUAGGAGGAACACCAGUGGCGAAGGCGGCUUGCUGGACGAUGACUGACGUUGAGGCUCGAAAGCGUGGGGAGCAAACAGGAUUAGAUACCCUUGUAGUC
rnacentral:rRNA from 1 species